AGUUACGAUUUACCUCAACUAUGUUGAUCGGUUGAACUGCCUGCAAUGCCAGAAAGAUACCAACUUCUAGCUAUAAAUCCCCGGCCCAUGACCAAGAGAGUAUUUAUUCACGUCUUCUUCUUCUCCGUCUUCUCAACUUCUUAUCUAGUUAUCUUAAUGGAUUCUGCUUCAUGAAUUCGUCGUCUAUGUCCUACAUUAAUUUCACUUUUAAAAUAAAGGGAAAGAUGUGGAAGCAAUUACAAGGAAAAUCACUAAUAAAUACUCGGAGUAUAUGUUUUUUUUUUUGUGGUUGUUGCUUAAGACUCGGGUAAUACGAAAAGAGAAGGACCUAGAAAAUGGUUUAUGUAGUACUGAUUUGGAUAUUCGGUAUGAGCGGACUCAGGAAAAAACACAGAGCUUAUAAAGAGAAGGAACAAGAAAAAGAAAGAAAAACUCUUUUCAGAAAGGGUUGGAAAUAAUGUUUGCUUAAAAGAGAAGAUCUCCAGCCAAUAAGUUUUGUGAAAGGAUCACGUAACAGUAGUAGUCAUGGGUAUUCUACCCUUGAGAGAUUAUGUUUUUCAUGGCUUUGGCUAUUUUGUGUGUUGCUUCAAUGGCUGAAGCUUACAAUGUUGGACAUAACAAUGGAUGCACUACUGUUAACAUGCCUGACUACCAAAAAUGAUCUGCUUCUAAAGUCUUCAAAAUUGACGAUUCCGUUGCUAUGUAUGCUUCUCACAAUUUCUUUGAUUUUUGGAUCUUUGAGUUGCUUGUGCUUUAACUCGUAUUACGCGAUCAUAUACCUUGUUCUCGAGUUUUGUUUUCGACUAUGUUAUGUAUAGAUUUGUACCGAAACAAGAAAAUGUUUCAUCUCAAUAAGAAUUCAAACCCUAUCUGGUUUUGAAAUCUUGGCACCACGAUUCUAAUUCAAUUUUGUUACGCAUUUUUCUUUUA